rnacentral:rRNA from 1 species
AGAGCGAACGCUGGCGGCAUGCUUAACACAUGCAAGUCGCACGGGCAUUUCGGUGUCAGUGGCGGACGGGUGAGUAACGCGUAGGUAUCUAUCCUUGGGUGGGGGAUAACGGUUGGAAACGACUGCUAAUACCGCAUGAUAACUGAGGUUUAAAGGCGCAAGUCGCCUGGGGAGGAGCCUGCGUACGAUUAGCUUGUUGGUGGGGUAAAGGCCUACCAAGGCGACGAUCGUUAGCUGGUCUGAGAGGAUGAUCAGCCACAUUGGGACUGAGACACGGCCCAAAACUCCUACGGGAGGCAGCAGUGGGGAAUAUUGGACAAUGGGCGAAAGCCUGAUCCAGCAAUGCCGCGUGUGUGAAGAAGGUCUUCGGAUUGUAAAGCACUUUCGACAGGGACAUGAUGACGGUCUGUAGAAGAGCCCGGCUAACUUCGUGCCAGCAGCCG